rnacentral:rRNA from 1 species
UGAUCCUGGCUCAGAACGAACGCUGGCGGCAUGCCUAAUACAUGCAAGUCGAACGAGCCCUUCGGGGUUAGUGGCGCACGGGUGCGUAACGCGUGGGAAUCUGCCCUUGGGUUCGGAAUAACGUCUGGAAACGGACGCUAAUACCGGAUGAUGACGAAAGUCCAAAGAUUUAUCGCCCAGGGAUGAGCCCGCGUAGGAUUAGCUAGUUGGUGAGGUAAAGGCUCACCAAGGCGACGAUCCUUAGCUGGUCUGAGAGGAUGAUCAGCCACACUGGGACUGAGACACGGCCCAGACUCCUACGGGAGGCAGCAGUAGGGAAUAUUGGACAAUGGGGGCAACCCUGAUCCAGCAAUGCCGCGUGAGUGAUGAAGGCCUUAGGGUUGUAAAGCUCUUUUACCCGGGAUGAUAAUGACAGUACCGGGAGAAUAAGCCCCGGCUAACUCCGUGCCAGCAGCCGCGGUAAUACGGAGGGGGCUAGCGUUGUUCGGAAUUACUGGGCGUANAGCGCACGUAGGCGGCGAUUUAAGUCAGAGGUGAAAGCCCGGGGCUCCACCCCGGAAUAGCCUUUGAGACUGGAUUGCUUGAACAUCGGAGAGGUGAGUGGAAUUCCGAGUGUAAAGGUGAAAUUCGUAGAUAUUCGGAAGAACACCAGUGGCGAAGGCGGCUCACUGGACGAUUGUUGACGCUGAGGUGCGAAAGCGUGGGGAGCAAACAGG